rnacentral:lncRNA from 1 species
GUAACUAUCUCAGUUGAUUCCACCAGUCUUGUCUUAUUUCCCUCUGUGUCCCUCCAGAAGAGAGAGAAGAGGAGAGAGGAUGAAGAGAGGAGGAAGGAGUGGAUGGACCAGGAGAGAGAGAGAACCCUGAGCAGACUCCGCUCCUUCAGAGAGAAGCGACAGGGAAGUUACGUCCUGAAGACUCCACGAUCCAAGAUGGCUGCCAGGGAGCCGCAGUGUUCCGACCUCUCCCAGCCUCUGUCAAUCAUUAGCAUCGGCCCCUCCCCUUCAUCUAAUGGGGCCGCCCCCAGAAAGACCCCCAGGAAACUCAAACCGAAAGACAUCCCCGUCCAAAUAUUCACUCCUCCUCUCCCUCCUCCUUCGCCUCUGCCAACUACACCUCCCACUACAGCUGUACCCCCACCUCAGACCUCCUCUCCUCCUCCCCCCUCCUCCUCCACCCCUCCCUGCCCUCACCCCCUGUAAGACAGAGGUAGGCGACUCCCCCAUGCCUCUCAGUGAGAAAGAGGCCGCACCCUUCCCUGCCAAAAUGACCCUGAAGCAGAACCUAGGUUCUAUGGACGAGGUGUUGGCAUCAUUACAGCGUGGUCAGGUCAGGCUGCGUCGUGUUCAGCCCCUUGCCCCUCCUGGUCCCGGCCUGGCGCCCUCCGGUGGCGACCUCAGGGAUAACAUCAUGUCUGCCAUCAGACUUGGGGUCAAACUACGCAAGGUGGUCCCAGCAGUGCCCCUGCCCCAGGACAGCAGGGACACGGAUCUGCAGAAGAGCAUCAAGGCAGCCAUGCAGAGGAUGAAGAAGGUCUCCUCCGACUCAGAUGAAGAUGAGGAGAGAGGAGAGGACAACACGCCCUUGGCUGAGUGGGACAGCUGAGAGGAGACGUAUGCACGGACAGACAGACACUCGGACGCGCACGGACACAUCCAUAAAGCAGGCGUACUGCGUGUGUGUGUGUGUGUAUACAGCAGGGAGAACAAGUAUUUGAUACACUGCAGGUUUUCCUACUUACAAAACAUGUAGAUAUACUUAUGUCAUGCAAUAAAAUGCAAAUUAAUUACUUAAAAAUCAUACAAUGUGAUUUUCGUUUUAGAUUCCGUCUCUCACAGUUGAAGUGUACCCAUGAUUAAAAAAAUUACAGACCUCUACAUGCUUUGUAAGUAGGAAAACCUGCAAAAUCGUCAGUGUAUCAAAUACUUGUUCUCCCCACUGUAUACACACACACACACGUACAAAUCAAAACAUUCACUAAUCAAUAGGUUAACCAUGUUGCCAAUGGUUUAGUCGUGUGAUUAUGCAGGUUUACUGUUUGACGUAAAACUUGAUCCAUAGAGAAGAGAUCGUAUCUUAAACACCCUGAAAAUGUUUAACUAAAGCACUGUGCCCAAAUAUCCACCACCUGUUACCACGGUUCAAGGCUACAGCCUUUUUUUUCCACCAAGCUUAGAAACUAGCUGUUAUCUGGCUAAAAAGCUCCCACCAAUUCCAGAUUUUCAUGAAUUCUUGUUUGUACGCUUGUCUAGUCUUCCGUUUGCAAACGAGCCUGAGGACUUGACAUUGAAGUAUUGUCCAACUGCUUUACACAGAGAGAGACAGAGAGAGACAGAGAGAGACAGAGAGAGACAGAGAGAGAGAGAGAGAGAGAGAGACAGAGAGAGAGAGAGACAGACAGAGAGACAGACAGACAGACAGAGAGAGAGAGAUUCUGUGUCUGUGUCUAUGGUUGCAGUCCCCUGCAGCGUGUUCAACUAGAACAGGUGGCAGACCUUACCGUGUAAUGCGGUUCAGUUUGUCAUCGUAUUACACUACAUCUCCCUUAAUGUUUUGUUUGUCUAGUGCCAGUUGGAACUGGUGUCCCCCCCUUCAUAGCAUAACUGACGAACCAUUGAAGGAGAAAACAUUUAUCGUUUUUUGUUGUUGUUGUUUCUGCUUCAUGAUUUUAUCUACGGAUGAAAAUGAGCUCGUUUUGCCACAUUUACUUUGAGGAAAACUGAAAUGUUGAUGACUGUGCACUCUGUCCUACAACGCCAUAUUAAUCGCUGUGAUGAUAAAAUAACCCUUUAAGUAUAUGACCUCUGCCCUUCAUGAACAGAAUAGAGCUUUACCCAGUUUCCCACCAUGAACUAAAACAAUAGGAUGUAGUUGACCCCGUAGGCACAACAGUCCUAGGAUCAGCCUCCUCUCCCCCCAAUCCCAACCUUUUAACCAUUAGGGGGAAUAAUCUAAAACUGGCCUUGGGUCAGUGUCUAGGGGGCCAACUUCACCCUAGUAUUUCUAAUGAUGCUACGUUAUUACAUGGCACAUGAUUUGACCGGGUUGUCAUGGAGACGCAAAAGGCCGUGUUCCAGACUGCCCUGCAAAAGCAGCAUCUUUUAGACAAAUGAACCAAUGAUUGAAUAUGUAAGAUUUGGUGCGUGACUGCAAUGUAGGUGGCCUGGAACAUGGCCAGAUGUAUAAACGAGCGCCAAUGCACUGAUUUAAAUAUUUUUUUUGUAAACUGUCAAACCCAGUUUCCAUUCGACUGUUAAGUGUUAUUUUAAAGAGAGAACGUUGUCAUUAAUGCUCAAGUGCCUUGGGGACUGUAAGUUAUUACGAGCUGUCAUUCACCAAUAAACUGUUGUUGAAUCAGGUUUCUGUAGUACACUUCUACAACUGUUCUGUCCGGGAGAGAUUCUCUUUAUAAUGGGGGAAAACACACUAAUAAUUGAUCAUUCCAGG